UGGGGAAUUUUGGACAAUGGGGGCAACCCUGAUCCAGCCAUGCCGCGUGAGUGAAGAAGGCCUUCGGGUUGUAAAGCUCUUUCAGCCGGGAAGAAAAUGCAUGGGUUAAUACCCUGUGCAGAUGACGGUACCGGAAGAAGAAGCACCGGCUAACUACGUGCCAGCAGCCGCGGUAAUACGUAGGGUGCGAGCGUUAAUCGGAAUUACUGGGCGUAAAGCGUGCGCAGGCGGUUUUGUAAGACAGGCGUGAAAUCCCCGGGCUUAACCUGGGAACUGCGUUUGUGACUGCAAGGCUAGAGUACGGCAGAGGGGGGUGGAAUUCCACGUGUAGCAGUGAAAUGCGUAGAGAUGUGGAGGAACACCAAUGGCGGAGGCAGCCCCCUGGGUCGAUACUGACGCUCAUGCACGAAAGCGUGGGUAGCAAACAG
rnacentral:rRNA from 1 species